GCAGCCGCGGUAAUUCCAGCUCCAAUAGCGUAUAUUAAAGUUGUUGCAGUUAAAAAGCUCGUAGUUGAAUUUCGGGAUCAAUUUAUCGGUCGUGCAAUAGUACGUACUGGUUUUAUUGGUUCCUACCUUCUGAUGAACCAUGAUGCCAUUAAUUUGGUGUCAUGGGGAAUCAGGACUGUUACUUUGAAAAAAUUAGAGUGUUUAAAGCAGGCUCACGCUUGAAUACAUUAGCAUGGAAUAAUGAAAUAGGACGUUUGAUUCUAUUUUGUUGGUUUCUAGGAUCGACGUAAUGAUUAAUAGGGAUAGUUGGGGGCAUUAGUAUUCAAUUGUCAGAGGUGAAAUUCUUGGAUUUAUUGAAGACUAACUACUGCGAAAGCAUUUGCCAAGGAUGUUUUCAUUAAUCAAGAACGAAAGUUAGGGGAUCGAAGACGAUCAGAUACCGUCGUAGUCUUAACCAUAAACUAUGCCGACUAGGGAUCGGAUGAUGUUAAUUUUUUAAUGACUCAUUCGGCGCCUUACGGG
rnacentral:rRNA from 1 species